rnacentral:rRNA from 1 species
ACUACAUGAAGCCGGAAUCGCUAGUAAUCGCGAAUCAGAAUGUCGCGGUGAAUACGUUCCCGGGUCUUGUACACACCGCCCGUCACACCAUGGGAGCCGGAAAUGCCCGAAGUCGGUGACCCAACCGAAAGGAGGGAGCCGCCGAAGGCAGGUCUGGUAACUGGGGUGAAGUCGUAACAAGGUAAC